rnacentral:RNase_P_RNA from 1 species
UUUGGGUGGAAGCUUAAUGUGGAGGUAACUUACAGGAUGCUGAUCACCAUCUCAGUCACCUUCUGAGACGGGAGCCAUCAGUCGCCCCAGCAGAGUGUCACCCGAAUAAGGUGAACAGGUGACCAGAACAUGUGGCUCAGCCUAAGGAUCAGCUAGAGAAUCUCUGGCAUGUGGUGCCACAGUGGAUGUACAUCUCAGCUGACUUAAAAAAACACCUGUGGUACGCAGAUGAGUGAAUUGAAUGAGGUGGAGCACAGCCCCCGAACCCAACUCACACGUCUCUCCAUCCACA